CGCCAGCGCGAGCGGGAAGGAGGCGCCCGUCGAAUUUUUGCGUGCUAGCCUGCGAGACUUGAGGAGACUUCAGGCGUGGUCAUUCCUGAGCCCCACAGACCACGGCCUCUGCUCCAGUCGGUACUCCUGCCCCAGGGGGGCCAUGGGCCGGAUCUCGGGGCUCGUGCCCUCUCGCUUCCUGACGCUCCUGGCGCAUCUGGUGGUCGUCAUCACCUUGUUCUGGUCGCGGGACAGCAACAUCCACGCCUGCCUGCCUCUCACGUUCACCCCCGAGGAGUACGAGAAGCAGGACAUUCAGCUCGUGGCAGCGCUGUCCGUCACUCUGGGCCUCUUUGCAGUGGAGCUGGCCGGUUUCUUCUCAGGGGUUUCCAUGUUCAACAGCACCCAGAGCCUCAUCUCCAUUGGGGCUCAUUGUAGUGCAUCUGUGGCCCUGUCCUUUUUCAUAUUCGAGCGUUGGGAGUGUACCACGUACUGGUACAUUUUCGUCUUCUGCAGUGCCCUCCCAGCUGUCACUGAAAUGGCAUUGUUCAUCAGCGUCUUUGGACUGAAAAAGAAACCUUUCUGAGACCUUCGUGACGGGAACAUAGGGAUGAUGGUUCGAGGAACACGGGACCACUCACCAUUCCUGGACCGAGGAAGGCAGUCUUCAGCCCUCAAAUUGCAUUUGAUGGAGGAUGUCAGUGUUGGGGAUUUUCACUGCUGGGAGGUAGUCCUGCAUGUGGGUGAGAUGGGAACGUGCCGGUUAUUCCUUAUGGCUUUGCUGGAGUCCCAAACGUGUGACCGUCAACAGGAGACCGGUCGAGUCGCGUUAACAGCGUAACCCUGGGCAGCCGGGAAAGAAACAAUGUCCAGGAUUGUGACAAAAGGACUUUGUGGAAUGGCUCCUGUCGUUUGCUUCCAUUUGUGUAAAAAGUGGGAAAGCACAGACCGGCCCGUGGGAAAACCAUCUCUGGAAGGAGCCAAGGUACCUGGGAAGACUGGUGCUGAGGGCAGAAGCCGGGUGCCUGGGGGACUGGGCGGGAGGGGGACUUUCUCCGUGUGCUUUUUUGAACUCUGGGAAUUCUGAAGCACAUGGCCUUUAAAAAGACAAACCGUAACAUUCUUGAAGAAUGUGAGCCUGCGGUUGCCGGUGCCCCCCAUCUGGAAAUGAAGCCAAGUCAGAGUCCCGCAAAGCUAGAAACAGAGACAGCAGAUUCCCCGAUGAUGUCACAGGAGUGCCUGGUUCCUGCUAUUUCCAGCUCCUGGUGUCAGCACAGUGCCUGGCAUCGGAGAAUGAAGGAGCCCUCGUUUCACGGAUGAGGAACACGGGGCGCCAGGAGAAAGCCAUUUGCCUCACGCAAAUAUGGAGAGCUGGGGCUAGAUAGGUCCCAAGUUUCCUGGCUGUCAGGCCAAAUCAGUCGCUCGAUUCGACAAGUCUUCAUUGAAUAUCUCCCACCUGCCAGGCUCCGGACAUGGCAUGUGGGACGGAAGGAAAUAAGGAUGAUGUGGCCCCUUGCCAACCACACAUACAGUCUGGAUCCCCCUUCCCCCCAACAGAGCAACUUGUUAACCCCAGUGAGCCUCUAAGGAAUUGAGGGUUGCAGAGUCCGGAUGUGCGACCAGGAGGCCUCCCAGGCUCCCAGUCCCAGAAGACUGGGAUCGGCCUGCGUCUCGUCUUCCCCACACCAGGCUCUGGCGUGUGGCCUCCCCACCACCCAAGCCCACGCUGCUCUGUUUCCCGGAGGCAGGAGGCCCGGGCCCGUCCUGCUGCGGUGACAGGAGCCAGCUCCCUGGCCACACUGGUCACAGAUGAUCGGAGCUUCAUCAGCUCAAACGCGGCUGUCCUCACAGGAACGGUGGGCACACAGGCCCUGCCCGAACCCACUCUCCCCAAACAGGAGCCUAGGCGUUCACCGUUAGCGGCCCAAUUGCCUGCUGUGCUGUGUGUUUGUCUUUUAAAACACUCUUCACUGAAACUGUAGUUCACCAUCAUUCAUUCAUUAUUCAUCGGCCUGCCUUGUUUCUGGCACUGUGCUUGGGACUCAUGCAGGGAGAAGAGAUUAAAAAGGUACCGCUUUGUGUAUGUAUAUUGUUUUAUACACA